UACGAAGGGGGCUAGCGUUGUUCGGAAUUACUGGGCGUAAAGGGUGCGUAGGUGGCUUCAUACGUCAGGAGUGAAAUCCCCAGGCUUAACCUGGGAAUUGCUUUUGAGACUAUGGAGCUUGAGUACAGGAGAGGUGAGUGGAAUUCCCAGUGUAGAGGUAAAAUUCGUAGAUAUUGGGAGGAACACCGGUGGCGAAGGCGGCUCACUGGCCUGUAACUGACACUGAGGCACGAAAGCGUGGGGAGCAAACAGG
rnacentral:rRNA from 1 species